rnacentral:rRNA from 1 species
GAUGAACGCUGGCGGCGUGCCUAAUACAUGCAAGUCGAGCGGAUGGAUUAAGAGGUUGCUCUUAUGAAGUUAGCGGCGGACGGGGGAGUAACACGUGUGUAACCUGCCCAUAAGACUAGGAUAAGCCCGAGAAACCGGGGCUAAUACCGGAAAAGAUUUUGAACCGCAAGGUUCGAACUUGAAAGGCGUGGUCGGCUGUCACUUAUGUAGGUACUCGGGUCGCAUUAGACAGUUGGUGAGGUGACGGCUCACCAAGGCAAGGAUGCGUAGCCGACCUGAGAGGGUGAUCGGCCACACUGGGACUGAGACACGGCCCAGACUCCUACGGGUGGCAGCAGUAGGGAAUCUUCCGCAAUGGACGAAAGUCUGACGGAGCAACGCCGCGUGAGUGAUGAAGGCUUUCGGGUCGUAAAACUCUGUUGUUAGGGAAGAACAAGUGCUAGUUGAAUAAGCUGGCACCUUGACGGUACCUAACCAGAAAGCCACGGCUAACUACGUGCCAGCCGCCGCGGUAA